rnacentral:rRNA from 1 species
UGCAGCCGAGCGGUAGAGAUCUUUCGGGAUCUUGAGAGCGGCGUACGGGUGCGGAACACGUGUGCAACCUGCCUUUAUCUGGGGGAUAGCCUUUCGAAAGGAAGAUUAAUACCCCAUAAUAUACUGAAUGGCAUCAUUCGGUAUUGAAAACUCCGGUGGAUAGAGAUGGGCACGCGCAAGAUUAGAUAGUUGGUGAGGUAACGGCUCACCAAGUCUACGAUCUUUAGGGGGCCUGAGAGGGUGAUCCCCCACACUGGUACUGAGACACGGACCAGACUCCUACGGGAGGCAGCAGUGAGGAAUAUUGGACAAUGGGUGAGAGCCUGAUCCAGCCAUCCCGCGUGAAGGACGACGGCCCUAUGGGUUGUAAACUUCUUUUGUAUAGGGAUAAACCUACCCUCGUGAGGGUAGCUGAAGGUACUAUACGAAUAAGCACCGGCUAACUCCGUGCCAGCAGCCGCGGUAAUACGGAGGGUGCAAGCGUUAUCCGGAUUUAUUGGGUUUAAAGGGUCCGUAGGCGGAUCUGUAAGUCAGUGGUGAAAUCUCACAGCUUAACUGUGAAACUGCCAUUGAUACUGCAGGUCUUGAGUGUUGUUGAAGUAGCUGGAAUAAGUAGUGUAGCGGUGAAAUGCAUAGAUAUUACUUAGAACACCAAUUGCGAAGGCAGGUUACUAAGCAACAACUGACGCUGAUGGACGAAAGCGUGGGGAGCGAACAGGAUUAGAUACCCUGGUAGUCCACGCCGUAAACGAUGCUAACUCGUUUUUGGAAUGUAAUUUUCAGAGACUAAGCGAAAGUGAUAAGUUAGCCACCUGGGGAGUACGAACGCAAGUUUGAAACUCAAAGGAAUUGACGGGGGCCCGCACAAGCGGUGGAUUAUGUGGUUUAAUUCGAUGAUACGCGAGGAACCUUACCAAGGCUUAAAUGGGAAAUGACAGGUUUAGAAAUAGACUUUUCUUCGGACAUUUUUCAAGGUGCUGCAUGGUUGUCGUCAGCUCGUGCCGUGAGGUGUUAGGUUAAGUCCUGCAACGAGCGCAACCCCUGUCACUAGUUGCCAUCAUUAAGUUGGGGACUCUAGUGAGACUGCCUACGCAAGUAGAGAGGAAGGUGGGGAUGACGUCAAAUCAUCACGGCCCUUACGCCUUGGGCCACACACGUAAUACAAUGGCCGGUACAGAGGGCAGCUACACUGCGAAGUGAUGCAAAUCUCGAAAGCCGGUCUCAGUUCGGAUUGGAGUCUGCAACUCGACUCUAUGAAGCUGGAAUCGCUAGUAAUCGCGCAUCAGCCAUGGCGCGGUGAAUACGUUCCCGGGCCUUGUACACACCGCCCGUCAAGCCAUGGAAGUCUGGGGUACCUGAAGUCGGUGACCGUAACAGGAGCUGC